UGGCAGUCAGAGGCGAUGAAGGGCGUGCUAAUCUGCGAUAAGCGCCGGUAAGGUGAUAUGAACCGUUAUAACCGGCGAUACCCGAAUGGGGAAACCCAGUGUGAUUCGUCACACUAUCAUUAACUGAAUCCAUAGGUUAAUGAGGCGAACCGGGGGAACUGAAACAUCUAAGUACCCCGAGGAAAAGAAAUCAACCGAGAUUCCCCCAGUAGCGGCGAGCGAACGGGGAGGAGCCCAGAGCCUGAAUCAGCAUGUGUGUUAGUGGAAGCGUCUGGAAAGGCGCGCGAUACAGGGUGACAGCCCCGUACACAAAAGCGCAUGUGCUGUGAGCUCGAUGAGUAGGGCGGGACACGUGGUAUCCUGUCUGAAUAUGGGGGGACCAUCCUCCAAGGCUAAAUACUCCUGACUGACCGAUAGUGAACCAGUACCGUGAGGGAAAGGCGAAAAGAACCCCGGCGAGGGGAGUGAAAAAGAACCUGAAACCGUGUACGUACAAGCAGUGGGAGCCCCACCACUAAGCCAGUGGUGAACUCCACAUACGCAUCCUUUGCUGAGGAUACGGUUAACGGAGCGAAAGCGACGUUCAACCUCAAAAGAAGCAGAGGGGGCUUAGUGGUGGGGUGACUGCGUACCUUUUGUAUAAUGGGUCAGCGACUUAUAUUCUGUAGCAAGGUUAACCGCAUAGGGGAGCCGGAGGGAAACCGAGUCUUAACCGGGCGUUAAGUUGCAGGGUAUAGACCCGAAACCCGGUGAUCUAGCCAUGGGCAGGUUGAAGGUUGGGUAACACUAACUGGAGGACCGAACCGACUAAUGUUGAAAAAUUAGCGGAUGACCUGUGGCUGGGGGUGAAAGGCCAAUCAAACCGGGAGAUAGCUGGUUCUCCCCGAAAGCUAUUUAGGUAGCGCCUCGUGAAUUCAUCUCCGGGGGUAGAGCACUGUUUCGGCCAGGGGGCCAUCCCGGCUUACCAACCCGAUGCAAACUGCGAAUACCGGAGAAUGUUAUCACGGGAGACACACGGCGGGUGCUAACGUCCGUCGUGAAGAGGGAAACAACCCAGACCGCCAGCUAAGGUCCCAAAGUCAUGGUUAAGUGGGAAACGAUGUGGGAAGGCCCAGACAGCCAGGAUGUUGGCUUAGAAGCAGCCAUCAUUUAAAGAAAGCGUAAUAGCUCACUGGUCGAGUCGGCCUGCGCGGAAGAUGUAACGGGGCUAAACCAU
rnacentral:rRNA from 1 species